rnacentral:rRNA from 1 species
AUGUUAGAACAACCCAUCAAUGUUCUUAGUUGGAAUGUUCGGGGCCUCAACUGCCCGGAUCGUCGCGCCACUAUCAGUGAAACUGUUGCAUCAUCGUCCUGCCAGAUUGUUUGUUUGCUAGAAACCAAGCUUGACGCCGUCGACAAUUUCACAGCUCUGCUCCUUGGGGGCAACCGGCUGCGUGGCCAUGCCCAGAAGCCAGCCGAUGGCACGCGUGGUGGGAUCCUCUUGCUGUGGGACGACCAUCGUGUGUCCAUCUCGGAUGUCGUGGUCACUCCCUUUUGUCUAUCUGCCAUGGUGCACUGCAUUGGGUCCAAUGUUAAGUUCAAAAUUACCUCCGUCUACGGACCUACAUCGUCAACACUCAAAGAUGCUUUCUUUGCUGAGCUCCUCUCCCAGAAGCCUCCCUCCGGAGACCUAUGGCUUGCCCUUGGAGACUUCAACCAAAUCUACCGUGCUUGGGACAAGAACAAGCGCAACGACAACACUAGCUGCAUCAGCCGUUUCCGGACAACUCUCCAGGCUUGUGAGCUCAAGGAGAUCCACCUUCAGAACCGGCGCUUCACGUGGAGCAACGAGAGGCAGAACCCCACUUUAUGCAAGCUGGACUAUUUCUUCUGCAACGCGGAGUGGGAUGCCCAGUUCGGCACCCACAUCCUUCAUGCUCUGUCCUCCUCGUUAUCUGACCAUUGCCCCCUGUUGCUCGCGGAUGCAGUCGGGCCGACCAGGCCGAAGACUUUCCGAUUUGAGAACUUUUGGGCCUCCCUCCCGGGAUUCAAUGAAAUUGUCUCGGGGGCUUGGGAGGAGCAUUCAGAGCACUCUGAGCCUUUCCAGGUGCUGCAUCACAAGCUAAAAAAACAAGCGUCCGCCUCAGUGCUUGGAGCCACAGACUGCUCUCCAACGCCAAGGUUCAGCACCACGCCGCCCAUUGGGUUAUCUCCACCUUGA